rnacentral:tRNA from 1 species
GCAGUGGUGGUUCAGUGGCAGAACUGUCAGCUUCUGUGCAGGAAACCCAGGUUCGAUUCCCAGCCAAUGCA